CAUUCCCUCCUGCCUCCUACGACCUCCACUCACCCCAGACCAAACUAAAGUUCUCCUCCAGAGUCUUCCACUCUAAUGUCUCUCACUCAGCAUGGAAGCCGCUAAAGAUGAAAACAGCAGCAUGAGGACGUCCUGAGACUCGUUCUGCUCACACCACAUCUGUUCAUCCAUCCAUCCGUCUGUCCACUGAGGUUUACCUUCUCCGCCUCUGAUCGAGUGCUCUACUGGAGCGCGAGGACGAACCUCACUACACUCUCAUCUCUAAACUGUCUGGGAUUAUUUGAUGAGCGCUCAGCUGCCACGCACUAAUGAACCUCCAACAUCUUGUCCCGUCACAGCAAUUACACACACACAUACACACACACACACACACACACACACACACACGCAGUCCCUCUGCAUUAUGCAACACACUACAUAAAUAAAAUUAUAAACAACUCAGAAAUUAAAAUAAAUGAUCCAUAUAUUACACACCUGAAAUAUCUCAUUAGACCAUGUUGUUAUAAUAAUUAUUAUUAUUCGUGUAUGCAUGGUUGAAUAUCUUCUCUUUCACUCUCUCUUUCACACACACACACACACACACACACACACACACACACACACACACACACACUGAUUGAGAGUUUCAUCACAGUGACAUCACAUCCUCUCUCUCCAUCACACAGUCUUAGGGUUAAUCAAGGCCUGAACUUUAAUCAGACGUACUUAAUCAUUUAUAGCCGCAGAGACCAGCCCAAACACCCCUCACACACACACACACACACACACACACACACACACAUGCAUAAUUCAGAUAUAUUUUCCAUUUUGCACUCAAAUGCUAAGUUGGGAGAUGGACAAGCAGAGCUUCGGCUGAGUUUCUGUUCGAACAGGAAGUAGACUGGACAAAUUCUCCUUCCCACUUCCUGCCUAUAUUUAUUUAUCUGAGUGCACAUCAUCACAUUCAAACUUUCUUAAAUUGCAAAUUAUUUUGAAUUGUAAUUGGACAGAAGGUGUUGAUUAAUUCUCUAUAACAGCAGCCCUGACAAUAGUGCAGGUUUAUAUUAAUGCACUCGUUCUAAUACAUUAUCGUUAUCGCUCAUUCACAGGGACGUGUACAGUUUAGUUUAGUUUAGUUUAGUUUAGUUUAGUUUAUUCAUUUAUAAAGCACAUUUAAAAACAACUAAAUUUGAAACCAAAGUGCUCUACAAGUUGUAUAAAGCAAAUCUAUACACAAAAACAUUUAACAAUACAAAAUACAGAGAGACAAAUGGACAUUUUCCAGGCUCAGACUGAAUUAAAAGAUAGAGAAUAAAAUUGAGUCUUCAAGGAGGAACUGAACACAGCAAUAGAGGAGGAUGAUCUUAUAUGAAAAGGGAGACUAUUCCCGAGCCUGGGAGCAGACACAGAGAAAGCCCGGUCACCUUUGGUUUUGGAACGUGAACGUGGUCCUGAAAAGAGUAGUUGAUUUGAUGAUUGAAGAGAGAACAGGGUGAAAGUGUACAGACUAAAGAGAUCACAUAUGUAUGGUGGAGCAAGCUCAUGCAAAGCUUUAAAAACAAAUAAUAAAAUUUUAAACUCAAACUACAGCGGACGUGCCACAUAAACGGAUUUUAAAAAUGUGUGUAAUCGGUGAUAUUUUGUGAGGAGUUGUUUAUUUAACAUUUAUGGAAGGAGUCACCAGUGUCAGCAGUUUGUAACAGUCAAAGGUAAACAACUGUUUAUCACUGCUAUAGCGUAAGUGAGAACAGGAACUAACUCGUUUCACCGACAUUCCACAACGUUAAAUGUCAAAUGGAAUUGUUCUGGUAUAAGAGGAAUAAAGCACUUGGGGACAUGCUGUUAUAGGAAAUUAAUCAACUUUGGGGUGGUAACUGUAACUCCACAUCUCAGUAUUAACUCACACACACACACACACACACACACACACAUUGAUUAGUACUGUACAGAAAUGAAAAAUAAACGUCUAUCUGGAUGUGGUGUUAAUAUGAUGAAGCAUAUUUAAAUUAUACAGUAUAACAGUGGAAAUGUAUAAAAAAAUUCAUA